rnacentral:rRNA from 1 species
UUGAAUGCAAUCAAUGAUGUAUUCCCUGACUCCCCACAGAGGUUCUGUCUUAGACAUAUAUAUGCCAACUUCCAAUCUGCUGGUUUUAGAGGGGAGCAACUCAAGAAACACUUAGAUCAGGCUGCCUAUUCCUUCACUAAGAAUGGUCAUGAAAAAGGGAUGGAAAAUUUGAAGAAAGAAAGUUUUGAAGCUUGGCAGUGGUUGUCACAGAUACCAGACCAUACAUGGGCAAGAUAUAAAAUGGAUACUGUUUGCAAAACUGACCUGGUUGUUAACAACCUCAGUGAAGUUUUUAACAGGAUGAUAUUGGAUGUUAGGAACAAGCCAAUCAGGACUAUGCUGGAGGGCAUAAGAACUAAGUUGAUGAUCAAGUUUCAGAAAAUCAGAGAGAAAACAGAGUCAUGCAGAUGGGAGAUCACACCAACCUACUCAGAAAUUUUA